UACGUAGGGGGCGAGCGUUGUCCGGAAUGACUGGGCGUAAAGGGCGUGUAGGCGGCCGAUUAAGUCUGGAGUGAAAGUCCUGCUUUCAAGGUGGGAAUUGCUUUGGAGACUGGUUGGCUUGAGUGCGGAAGAGGUAAGUGGAAUUCCCAGUGUAGCGGUGAAAUGCGUAGAGAUUGGGAGGAACACCAGUGGCGAAGGCGACUUACUGGGCCGUAACUGACGCUGAGGCGCGAAAGCGUGGGGAG
rnacentral:rRNA from 1 species